rnacentral:lncRNA from 1 species
AACUCUGCCUCGAAUCUCGCUUUUGACUUGGUCCUAUGAGCUGAGCCAACAUGGCGUCUCCCACUGCACCGCGAGCGCCGGGCUGCCAGGCUCGGCAGGGCCGGGUAAUAGAAAACACAUUGGUUACCAAAAAGAAAAAAAGGAGGGCGGGGGGCGCUAAAGGCCAUUCCGUCUGCAGGCAGAAAACCCUUUUUUAAACUCUUGCUGGCAAGUGAGUCCGGUCCUCGGUUCUUUAAUUAAAGCAACAGAAUUCGUAAGGAAAAUAUUGGUAACGCUGUACCUUCUCCCCUCCCCCUCCCAUAUUCAGGAGAGUUGAUUUCCUGUCCCCUCUCCUUCCAAGAACCAAAUUAGAAAAAUAAAAAGUCUGUAUCCGCAAAUGAUCUUAAAUGUUUGAAUGGUAUAGGGGGAUGGGAAGAGGACGGUCUUUACAGACCUCGGUCAGUUCUCGCGCUCAUUAAUGCAGGGGCUGCGCCGGGGUUUGCGCGGGCCCGAGCGGAGCUGGGGCGCGGUGGGGAGGGCGGAAUGCGAACCCCGCUGGACUUGGGCAGAACUUGCUGCUUUUGCACGCCCAAGUUGUGGGAAAGGAGGCUUUCCGGGCGGAGGGUUGAUUGGGGGGUGGGAGGGUCUAGCAGGGGCUGAGGGCCGGUUCCAGGCGGGUGGUCGCAGACCCUAGAAAUGUGUGAGCCCGCGUGGACUGUGCCCCUGGCAGGAGAGCGACUGCAGCGGAGGACCCUCUUUCUCUAAUAGGUUUGGCCUUGGGGCUAGCGCUGAAGUCUCUGCCUAUGGGGCCUCUGGGGUAGGGCUGAGGGGAAGAAAGGUGUGAAAGACGGGCUGCCUGGAUUCAGCCUCUGGAUCUUAGACCGGGGUGAGAGACCCGAGGCAGAAUGGGCCUGGGGGGUGGUGUCCCUCUAUCCCAUCUCCCCCGGAGCGGCCCCCUCGAAAUGACGUUCCUUGAAAGAAACAUGCUUGUGAUUAGCUAAGCAAACACAUCUGCUUUCGGAGUUGGGCCUUCGUUAAUUAGCUGAACAAAGGGCCGUUUUGCUUUUUACCUUUUGCUGGGGAGAGUGUGUUAUUUCAGGAGUGUUGCGGGCCCUCCUCUUUUCAAUUGCAGCCACGACGUUAAUUUUAUUGGGAUUACUGAUGGGAAAUGAGGUGGCGCAGGCUUCCGAGAGGAAAAGCUUGAUCAUUACCCCCUUUGGAACUAUAUUUUUCCACCCAACCUCCUGCUUGAGAGGAGGGGGUGGGGGGCGAACUGCGCUGCAAGUUCGGAGCAAUUGGAAUCAGGCUCGCGGUGCGCUGAUCUCGGGUGACAGAGCGUGUGUUGAAGCUGAACUCUAUAAUUUGCGCUUCUGUUCCUUUAUUAGGCCUGGACAACGAACUAAUGAGCUUUGGCCCAGUACAAUGUCACUUGUAUUUAUUUUCUUAUGGCAACUUUGAGAUAGCGGAAGUGUUCUUUACCAAGAGCCAGGGAGGGCCCGGAGUCCUGCCGGCUGCUGUCCCGGCCCGGGUCGGUGGCUGCGUCCCGGGGGAGCGAGGGCGCGGUGAGAGCGCGCGCAGAGCCGGCAAAGCUCGGGGACUGGGCUUCUAGGCGAAGCUAAUGGGGCCCUCAGGAAGGCGUUAGGCCCUUUGGAGGCCCAGGCAUCCCUACAGGAGCAGCUCCCUGAGGAUGAGGUCGGGGGGCGCGGGGCAAGUCCAGGGCAAGUUCCCAGGCACGAGAUGAUGGAAGGCGCGAAAGUGGCAUGGCUUCCUCCUGGCGCAGAGCAGGGGGUCCUUCCGCAAAGACUGCCAGGCCAAGGAACCCUCUGAGCAAGCAGAUGUACUCCGCCCGGUGGCCUGGGCGUCUGCUUUCUGCUGCAGGAACCUGGCCCAGCUCUGUUGCUCUCUGGGUUGGGGGUGAGGUGGGGUGAAGAGGAUGCUUUAAAGGAGUUCUUGGGGUCCUCGGCAUGCGGGGACUCCCUCCCUUCUCUUUCUGGUUUGGCCACUCCAAAGGGUCGAAGUUGGAGAGGCCUGGAAUAAAGUGAAGAAGCAGUGGGGGUUGGAGGGACAGAAGGGUCGGCGGAGGCAGUGCGGCGUCCCUUGUUCCCUGGCAGAGAGAAUACGAGCCCACCACGGGGGGAUUGUGGGUGGGGGGCAAGGGAAGGGAAGCCCCAGGAACUGCGAGGGGAGCGAGUACUUCUCUCCGCAGCCUGUCACUUUCCGAGGCUCCCGCCAGGCAGCCCUCGUUAAUAACGCCUAGACACCGUGCCCCUGCCCGCCCCAUCUCUCCUUGCCUCUCCUCACUUCAUCUCUCUGCCUUACCACCCCCUCCCCACCUUUUCCUUCCUUCCUGCAAAUGGGUGUUAACGUGGGUCUUUAUGUUCUGUCUAUAACUAGGAUGUAAUCACGCACCCCAUGCCUCUCUCUAAAAGCAUUUCAUAAAUGUCUAUUAAAGCGCUACGAAUGUAAGAUGAAUUUAGUGGCGCGGCUGCCUCCCUGAAUCCGAACGGUAAUGAUGGAUUUAUCAACGGGGAUUCGCCUUCAGCCCAGCGAGGGAGGUUUACUCAGCAAAUAUGUCGGCGAGCACCCACCCAAAUGCAAUCAUUUGACCCCCUGCGGACGAUAGCUGCCGUGCCCCUUCCCACCGCUGGUCCUGCUUGGCCAGGGUCGCUGGGGGCCAGAGGCCGGCCCGGAUGACCAGAGAGGUGGCCUCACGGAUCCCUUGGCCUCUCGCCCCCUCCUCUGUUUCCUCCUCUCAGCUUGAGGCUCUCCUGGCAAGGGGGAUCGAUCUGGCGUGUAGGUUUGGUGGGGAGGGAGAGGGUGGUGGCGGUGCCAGAGCACAAGAUGAAGUGUGGGCUGUCUUGGCGUUGCCAGGAGACAUCAGUGGGUGCCAUCGUGCCCUUCUUAGUUUGGAAGGGGCACAAUUGUACCCAAGUCUCUGAGUGUGAGCUUAAGUGCCCUGCUUUUGACCAAAUCUUAGUGUCUGGGAUCGUGGCUGACUCGGCCCAGCCCUGGGCCCCAUUGUAGGAAACGUGGCUGUAGGACAGAAGCCUGUGGUGCCCAGCCCCUUGGAAGGGCUCAGAUGUGCCCAGAACGAAUGCCUUGCCUGCCCAUCCUCCUGGGGCUCCCUAGACCCCAAGCCAAAGCAGAGAUACCUGUUAUCAAAGGUUGGGGAAGAGCCUCCAAGGCAGGGGCAAAACUUCCAUAUCUCUUUCCCCCAAACUGAUCUAGCUUCUCCUUCACCUUCCCCCACCGAGGCCACCCGGCCAUUUUAAAGUUUAGUGGCUGUGGACUUUUAGAAUUUGGUUUGGUCUGUGAUCCUUACCGCACAGACCCAAUGACCACCACCUCUUUCUUUUUGUCUUUUAUCUGCUCUCCUUUUGAGGGGGAGGAAAGUGCUGGCCUGUUCCAUCAAGCCCAGUUCGCAUUUGCUUUAGCCUCUGAUUUCUCUUUCUUCUUUGGAAAUUUCAUUGAGAUGUCUCUGUACUUCGCUUGUCAGUUAUCUUUGUUCCUUUUAAAUAAAGGGCUUUUAAAUGGACUUAUUGCUCCCAGCGUGGGUUCCUCUCUCUAAAUGUUAGAAAAUUGUGCCAUCUACCCGCUAUGCUGAGUACUGUCACACUCGGAGACCUCGGGGACCUCCGGGCAGGCUUCAAUGCUGCAGUGUCAGGGGCCGCGGGCAGCAGGAGGAGGGGGCGGCUCACGUGGAUUUUUACAGAUCUCCGCCUGCAGCCGGCCCGCGUGGCCACGCCAGGGCACGGCCCGAGACGCGCGCAGCCGCCAGCUUGAUGGCGGCCGCGAACUUGGCUGCAGCGGCAGAUCUCCGACCAAAUCGCAGGCGUGGCCGGGACUCUUCGCUUCUGCAGCAUACAGCUGGCCGAGGGGGAGCCGCGGGUGGUUUUGGACCCCAACAGCAACUGGGGGCUCCGCCAGCCCCUCCACCAGCCUCAUCACUAAUUAAAACGCCCUGUGGCUUUGGGACUGAGUAGGCCGGUCGUUGAACUGUCAUCUCCGCCAGGAUGGGAAAUCUAGAACAUCCCCUCUUCUGCAAAAAAGGUUCCGAACCCAGUGAAGUGAUUGGGCGGAGUGUCAUUAAUCUCUCUCCAGAAGCUUUCCUUUUCCUCCUGGGGAGUGAGGACUCCGGCCUUUGCCUCCACCCAACACGGUCGCCCGGCUAGGCCCCACCAUCCCCACUGUCGACCCCGCCGUUGUGCCCAUCCGUAUGCCCUAAUUGUGAGGAAGGUCUGGGAAACAUUUUCUUUGCGCUAAUUUUAUAUUUCCCCUUUCCCCCUUGCAACAUUAAACAUAAUUUUGCGCUGUCACUGUCACUAAGAUUGUGGUUUGCUGAUGUCUCUACUUGGAAACAUGACCCCUUCGCCUCCAACAGGGAGUCCUCCCCUUGCUUGCAGCCUCUAGUGCGGCCCCUUCUCCAGCGGGGACUUCAGAGCGUUUAUGAAAAUGCUGGGGCGGGGGGUGAGGGGAUGGGGAGGUACUGAUAGUAGUAAAGGCCAGAAGGGUUCCUACCAGAACCCUACAAUCAUUCCAAACCCUCUUUUCCUAUGACAGCAGGAGCAAAUGUAGUUUUGAUGUGCGUUUGGUUGUUGGCUUGUUUGUUUAAUAAAAUCCGUGUGUGUGUGUGUGUGUGUGUGUGUGUGUUUUAAUGUCUCAGUGUAUGUGACAGGAAACCACUUUCAGAAUUUCCCUUUGAAUUUUUUUUGUUUGUUUGUUUUUGUGUCUGUCCUCCUCAACUUCUCUCUUUUCUUUAUUCCCCUCCCCACUACAUUUUCUCUGGCUAAGCAAUAAUCCCCUGGCCCAGUGGCCACGCUCCUGGAGAUAAAAUCCAUUUAUCCCUUGUGUUGCCUCACUGAGGCCCGGUUAUCCAGGGCCUUUGGCGACAGACUGGAACAAACAGAGAUGAAGAUAUUUUUUCGUUUUCCAUACCUGCUCCUCCCUUCCUUCAAUGUGCCAGCCUAGAGGGGCUCUGGAGUUGAACAAAUGUACCCACAACUGCAGGUUUGCUCUGGCGCCUGGUUGUGGUCCUAGUUGCUAUUUGUUUGUCUCUUUGGAAGGAGCUGUUAGUUACAUUCUGCUCCCCACAACAGUCUCAGAGCUUGCUUGCACCAAGGUUGGGAGGUUUCAGAGCGAUUAUCUCAUUUCGCUGGUGCAGAGGGAAGCUGCUGGCAGCCCCUGGAUCAGACAUUCAGUGGAAGGCCCAUGUCACAGACCCAACCCGAAGGUUAAUUUUCCCUCAUUAGCAUCUCCAUAGUCUGCUCCUUGCAAGGGAUCUCAGGUCCUUGCUGCUAUUUUCUCCCUUCUCACUCUUUCUGACGAAUUCACUCUCACUCGUGGUCUCCUCAUCACAACCUUACAUUCUGCCAGGUUCCUAUUGAAUCCAUAGACUGAUCGCUGAAAACCCAUUUCAUCAGUUUCCAACCAGUAUGCCUAUUUUUAAUCCUAGAGCCCCUCUCCUCCAUCUGUAUCUCUCUAGCCUCAAUGCACCUCAUUUACAAAGUGUUCUGCUUUAUCCAAAUUAGUUCACUUCCCCCCUUUUACUUUCUCAUACCCCCUCAUUCUUUCAUUGAGUUCUAGCAAAAGCAAAAGAUACAAAAUGGCAAAGUUUGAUGGGUUGGGGGAGACCAUCCCAGCCAUUUAGGAAGAAGCUGGAGGUUUGUAAUGACAGAAAAAAAAUGACAAAGAAAAGAGAAUUGCAUUUGUGGCUUAAGUGGGACAAUGUGUUUGUGUGUCUAUAUCUCGGUGUGUUUUUAAGAUUUCUUUGAACUGCUUUUGUGCUGACCCAACAAAGGCAUUUGCUGAAGCUAGUCACGGUGUAGGAACUUUGAGUUAACCUCUUAUAUCAAAUGAAUCUUUUCAUUUAGAGACCAAUAAAUCUCAAUCUCUAGCUACUUUUUGUAGACCCAGCUUGGGUUCAGUGAGACAAAACUGGGGCUUAUAAUACAGACCAGAUAAAGUUUGCAAAAGUUGUUUUUUCCCCUCCAUCCUUUUUUACCAACCUGAAAAAUUUCCCCAUCCAACAAAUUAAAGCUCAGCAAAUAAAAGUAGCAGCUCUUCCUCAGUGAGCAGAAGGUUAGGAAUUUCUUUAGCAUUUCACAGCAAAGCCUUUUCACUGAAAUGGUUUUCCAAACUCAGAGGCCGAAAAGAUUUAUAGUUCUUCAACAAGUCAUUAUUUGGGUGUGUUUUUUAGGUGGGGCUGAGACAAUCUAAUAAUCAAUGUAAGACGGGUGGGUGGGGGGAUUGGCUAUGACCAAAAGAAGAGUUAACACCAGAAACAUGAAAGCCAGUCUGGUCUCCAGGGAUUGAAUUUGGGAAAGCCUGCACACGGCUGCUCCUGGGCCAUAAAGAAAUACAUUGUUAACAACAACAAAACAGACAAUGCCCUGAGCUCUGCCUGGAUUCAGAGCUGAGCUACUUUCAAGAUAUUUUAGCAGCACUGUUCAUUUUGAUGGGGUUUCUGGGCCAUUUGAAAUUCAACCUUUAGCCAGCCUGCUCAUGGGGUAUGGUUACAGAAUUCAUUUUCUGAUUUACUACCCCUCCUCCUGUAUUUUCUUUAUUUCCUGAUGGCCUCCCAUGGGGUUAAUCUUUUUUCCCUUUCUUUUAUAUUUUCCAGUUUUGUUCUCCCCACAAACGACUCAGUGUUUUUCCUGUUUCUACUGAUCACUCAUUUGCUUCCUUUCUCUCUUUCCUUCUUUAAGAGCCAGAGAAAAAUAAAAAGAAUGAGAAGGGGAUUUCCAAAUCGUUCUUUUCUAAGCAUUAUUAAUUACUGUUACAAGGCAAAAGAUUUUUAACCAAUAACAAAGUUGUAAAUUACCACUGACUUUCAAGUAUUUCUCAUUUGUCAGCUCUGAUUGAUUUGAUUAAUAUUCCACUCUGAAAUAAUUUCAGCCGGACUUAUCAUCAGUUCUACUCAUGAAGCAAAGAGCAGACUAUCACUGCUGCAGGGGAUCUGACCACUCUGCUUUUACUCUUAAUGUGAAGUUUGGGGUUUUGUCCUGAGGCCCGAGGUUCUGGGAAGGUGUACAGGCAGUUAAGUUUCGGGGAUGAAGUGGACUGGCAUAUCUCCAUAUAUUCAGUUAUUUAUAUGUAAUUUUGAAAACUUUGUUCAGGAACCUAUUUGUAUUGAAAGAACAAAACGGCAUCAUUUCCUUGCUCUCCUGAACAUUUUUUUUUAAACUGAAUAUUCAAGGCUGAAGGAAUGAAUUUUUAAACAGUUCCUAAAUCCAAGAAACUCAUUCGAACCCUAUUAAUUCUUAUCCUACUGGAUAGCAUUUCUGAGAAAGAGUGGGCCUACUCUCUGCUCAGACCUAUGGGAGAUUUGGGUUACUGGUGGGGAAAAAAGUGUGUGCAGGGACAGGAGGGUGGGAGGGGCUCAGCACAAGACAGGGGCAGCCAGAAGACUCCACUUUUGGGGAGUGGGGUUAUAGUUUCCCAAGGUCCUUUUCCGUGCCAUCGUCAUAUCCAGAAUGUAAUUUUUGAAGCUAUCAAUACCCGCUGCCUCCAAUACCUCUCGAGUUUUAAUCUUAAUUAUAUUAUUAAGUGAAGUACUCUGCUGUCAGGGCGUUGAACAUGAUUUAUGACGUCUGCCUAUUAGGGGAUCGAUUGUGAAUAUCGCCACUAUCAUCUAUCAAUAUUCUCAAGCCGGGGGUAUUUCUCGCUCCACGGUAGUUAUUUGUAAUACCGAAAUGAUAGACUGCAGGAAAAGACUACUUCAGAGGACUCGCUUUUCAGGAGCAGCAGAGAGUGUGGUGAACCAGGAGACUCGGAGAGUUCCAACCACAUCUGACACCCAGAGAGAGUUUAAAGUUUUUUUGUUUCUGUUUUUUAAUGUAAAAACCAGUGAAUUCUCCCGUGGGGCUAGUAGAAGAAAGCAAGCCAGAGUCGUUUUUAGGGAAAGGAGUAACCUCUGCAGGUCGAUAUCAGGGGGCGAGGGUUUCUAGCUGCCAGGUGAUUUGCAAUCAGACUAGAAGGAAAAAACUGGCAACCAGGGGCCCCUUUAUAGGAAGAUGGCUGGAUGAGGGCUGCAGAGGGGUGCUGGGGGUAGACUGCGUAUUUCUGCAGCAGAUGCCCGGUCGCUAUGCCCGUGGAUUCGGAGGUGUUCAGUUUCUGGGAUCAAUUAAGACUCGCUGGCUGAGCCCUCGCUGCAUCGCCGCUUUCACCUGCUCCUGCUUCCUCUGCAUAGGUGGAAGCCCGUGCCAAAGACCUAGUGGCCAGGCCCGAGGGAGCCUGAACGCAGAGGCCUUUUGUCUCCAGACAGAGAGCAGCGCCUGCUUUUUUCCACUCUCACGGGGCACGGCACUGGGUCACCAGCGAGUCUCAGCCUCCAGCGUUAGGGGGAUGGGAGGAAGAGUCAGAGAAUGGAGCAAAACUCUCCCGUUCUGGCGGCCUGGAGCUGGAGGCUAGAACACCCCGGGGGGGUGGGGCGUGGAGGGCGGCCUGAGUGCCGCGCCUGGCCCCUGCCCUGGGUGCGCACCAGGCCGCGAAAGCCGGGGGCCGCCUUCUCGGCUGCUGAAGCCCGGGAGUCAGUCAAGCGCCCUCUGGCACCGCGAGGGAGGCGCACCUCGCCUGGUGCAGAGUUGCCGCGACCCGAGCGGGAGGAGGCACAGGACGCAGGGCUCCUGGCCUGGCUGUGGGCUUGGCCUUGGCGCACUAAGCGCUCCCCAUCUGCCCGAGCCUGGCCUCCGCGGCCCUCUCGGCCCAGUCUACGUUCGUUUAAGGACUUCAGCGCGAAGAAGAGCGAACGUGGCUAGAACCUGUUGACCUCUCCUCUGGCCUGGAAGUCCGCACAGCUCGUGGCAACACUGGACGGACUGGUUGUCAGGGGACGACCGCGGGCAGGUGGGGAGGAGGCCUUGGUCUGGCUCCUGGAUUCCACCCUGGGACGGAAGGGGAAGCGGAAACCUUGACCUCAGCCACACAAGGACACCUAUCUGGCUGUCUGCCUGCCCUGGCCCAGCCACCCGGUUCAGAGGCCUACCCUUGGCCACAGUGGUUUGUCCUCAGGCUUGGAGUCCCCAGAGAUGUGGACACAGUGACUGGCACAUAGUAAGCGCUUAAUAAGUGUUAGAUUGGCGGUGUCAAUCAUUUUUAGGCACAUCCGGUUUCCUCCGUGAGCAUCUCCCCUCUCACACACAUUUAUUCCAGGCCAACAACAUGCCUAGCUAGGUCCUUAAGCACCGCCACUCAUACCCAGAGGCCCAUCAGCUGCCUCGCUCCCUCUGAGCCCUGGAGCUGCAGCCCUCCACCCUUGACAUGCGGGAGAAAGCCAGAGGCCCCUAGAGUCCCCCCCUCGGGGUGUUUUCCAGGCCUGGGACACCUGAGCAGGAGACACAGAGGCCUGAAGAAGGGUUAGCAGGUCCCUAAUAUGCCCCAUCCAUGUCAGCACUAGAGGAGGGGAAUUCUGGUUAAAUAAGAAUAUUCUGGACAGGGAGAUGGUGGUUGGUCAGUUAAAAAAGAGAGAAUCAUUCAGUAAGGGAUGCAUGUGUGGGAAGAGUGGGGGGCACCUAGGGGCAGGCUGACGCAGAAGAAGCAAUAGAGGCUGAGUCAGAGCACCACAAUGACACCUUUUUCUUCCAGAAAGAAUUCUUUAGUUAAGCCUUUAAUCGGCCUUCGGUGAGCAGUGAGUUGUGGGAGGUAGUGCCAUUAACUAUACAUACAAUGUUCAUGUAACCAGAUUUUAAUCAUUUAUGAUCUUAAUAAAUAAAUAUGCUGCCUUCUGAUUCUUUUUACUAUCAAUGAUAUUAAUACUGUUGUUGUUGUUUAAACGAGAUUUUAGUCCCGGUUCGUCCCCAGAGCGGCUGCAGGAGUAGUGCCCAGGACUAUUGUGACCUGCUGUGCCGUAGCUCAGACUUCA